UACGGAGGGGGUUAGCGUUGUUCGGAAUUACUGGGCGUAAAGCGCGCGUAGGCGGACCAGAAAGUUGGGGGUGAAAUCCCGGGGCUCAACCCCGGAACGGCCUCCAAAACUCCUGGUCUUGAGUUCGAGAGAGGUGAGUGGAAUUCCGAGUGUAGGGGUGAAAUUCGUAGAUAUUCGGAGGAACACCAGUGGCGAAGGCGGCUCACUGGCUCGAUACUGACGCUGAGGUGCGAAAGUGUGGGGAGCAAACAGC
rnacentral:rRNA from 1 species